UCCGGAGGGGGCUAGCGUUGUUCGGAAUUACUGGGCGUAAAGCGCGCGUAGGCGGAUUAGUCAGUCAGGGGUGAAAUCCCGGGGCUCAACCCCGGAACUGCCUUUGAUACUGCUAGUCUGGAGUUCGAGAGAGGUGAGUGGAAUUCCGAGUGUAGAGGUGAAAUUCGUAGAUAUUCGGAGGAACACCAGUGGCGAAGGCGGCUCACUGGCUCGAUACUGACGCUGAGGUGCGAAAGCGUGGGGAGAAAACAGG
rnacentral:rRNA from 1 species